AUGCUUCUUCGGAAGCAGAGACCGGCGCACGGGUGCGUAACGCGUAUGCAAUCUGCCUUUCACAGAGGGAUAGCCCAGAGAAAUUUGGAUUAAUACCUCAUAGCAUAGCACAAUCGCAUGAUUGAGCUAUUAAAGUCACAACGGUGAAAGAUGAGCAUGCGUCCCAUUAGCUGGUUGGUAAGGUAACGGCUUACCAAGGCUACGAUGGGUAGGGGUCCUGAGAGGGAGAUCCCCCACACUGGUACUGAGACACGGACCAGACUCCUACGGGAGGCAGCAGUGAGGAAUAUUGGUCAAUGGGCGCAAGCCUGAACCAGCCAUGCCGCGUGCAGGAUGACGGUCCUAUGGAUUGUAAACUGCUUUUGUACGAGAAGAAACACUCCUUCGUGAAGGAGCUUGACGGUAUCGUAAGAAUAAGGAUCGGCUAACUCCGUGCCAGCAGCCGCGGUAAUACGGAGGAUCCAAGCGUUAUCCGGAAUCAUUGGGUUUAAAGGGUCCGUAGGCGGUCUGGUAAGUCAGUGGUGAAAGCCCAUCGCUCAACGGUGGAACGGCCAUUGAUACUGCUGGACUUGAAUUAUUAGGAAGUAACUAGAAUAUGUAGUGUAGCGGUGAAAUGCUUAGAGAUUACAUGGAAUACCAAUUGCGAAGGCAGGUUACUACUAAUGGAUUGACGCUGAUGGACGAAAGCGUGGGUAGCGAACAGGAUUAGAUACCCUGGUAGUCCACGCCGUAAACGAUGGAUACUAGCUGUUGGAAGCAAUUUCAGUGGCUAAGCGAAAGUGAUAAGUAUC
rnacentral:rRNA from 1 species